CGGUUUAGGAUGGACCGGCGGCUGAUCAGCUUGUUGGUGAGGUAAAAGCUCACCAAGGCGAUGAUCAGUAGCGGGUGUGAGAGCACGACCCGCCUCACGGGGACUGAGACACUGCCCUGACUCCUACGGGAGGCUGCAGUCGAGAAUCUUCCGCAAUGGCCGCAAGGCUGACGGAGCGACACCGCGUGCAGGAUGACACCCUUCGGGGCGUAAACUGCUUUUAUGAGUGAAGAAGUCCCGACUUGUCGGGAUUGACAUUAACUCAUGAAUAAGGGUCCGCCAAACUCGUGCCAGCAGCGGCGGUAAGACGAGUGACCCGAGCGUUAUCCGGAAUUAUUGGGCGUAAAGGGUCCGCAGGCGGUUCUGCGCGUCCUUCGUUAAAGCCCACAGCUUAACUGUGGAAUCGCGAAGGAUACGGCAGAACUAGAGGCCGGGAGAGGCUGACGGAAUGGUAGGUGUAGGGGUAAAAUCCGUUAAUAUCUACUAGAACACCAAAGGCGAAGGCAGUCAGCUGGAACGGUCCUGACGCUCAGGGACGAAAGCGUGGGGAGCGAAGGGGAUUAGAUACCCCCGUAGUCCACGCCGUAAACGAUGGAUACUAAAGAUUGGUAGUCUCGACCCUAUCAGUCUUGCUAUACUCAAGCUAACGCCUUAAGUAUCCCGCCUGGGGAGUACGAGCGCAAGCUUAAAACUCAAAGGAAUAGACGGGGACUCGAACAAGCGGUGGAGCGUGUGGUUU
rnacentral:rRNA from 1 species